GUUCCAGUGAGCAGAUAAAUACGCUCCCCCCCUACUAAACUCUCAGAAAUGUCCAGACAGGCAGAAAUGACUGGAAUCAGCGUGUCCAGCAUGGUUCAAGACAAGGAUUUUCUUCAUUUAAUAAAACGUAAUAUUGAUGAUCCUGAAUCAUCAUGUUUUAUAUAUAACUGUAGCAACAGUGCUAUUAAUAGUAUUCAUAUUGAAGAUCAUUUAAAUAUUCAGAAGGAUUUUGAAAAAUUUGGGUAUAUUAUAACAAACAAAAAUGGCUUACUAUGUACAUCACAAUGUUUUUUUGCAUAUGCACCUAACCGUAUUUUGACAACGUACCACUCAAUUGGUAGUGACGGCAGUAUAUAUGCCUUCUUUCCACAUAAACAUGGUAAAUUAAUCUUAAUUUAUAAAAUUAAUCUAUCACCCAUUAUCUAUAGCUUUGCAAUUGAUUAUGCAUUACUAGAGUUACCAAGAGAUCGUUUUAUCCCUUGGAAUAAGGGAUUGUUAGAUCAAAUUGAUGGGAAACCUGAAAAGGACAAGUUAGUCCAUGUCAUUACAUGUAGGACAUUACAAACAGCUAAUUUAAUUGAGGCAAAUGUCAUGAAUUGUAAUGCCAUAGAUAUGAAAAAUAAGAUAAAGAAUUCAGAAUUUGUAAUUAACAAAUGUGGAAUUGAAGGUGAUAGUGGUGCGCCAGUUUUCUAUAAAGACAAAGUUGUGGGAAUGUACCGUGGAGUUGUUCCUGGACAACCAUUUGGACGGUGCAUUAACAUUAUUGACAUUGACGAAGAUAUUAAAAAAAAAAAUGUUUUCAUGAGAGAAUUAAAAAAAAAGUCAUUAUGGUAAAUUCUAAAAAAUGAAAAAGAACUUGAAAGUAAAGCAUUUCCAACUCUUUAGGACUGCAUCAAUUUUCUAAAAAAAUAUGAUAAUGUUAUAAAUAAUAAAGAUAAUAAAUAAAGAUAUAGGCUAAUUGGCGACUUGCCCAUAUUAAAAAAAGAGUGUGUGAAUGAAGUGAAAAUAAUGUGAGUGAAUGAAGUGAAAAUAAUGUGAGUGAAUGAAGUGAAAAUAAUGUGAGUGAAUGGUGUGUGGGUGAUUGAUUGGAGAUGUGACCAUGCCAACAACCAGGGCUGGUCUGUGUGCUGGUUUUUAUUCCAACCUUAAUUUGCUCUGGUACUUGAGCACAGUAACAUCUUCAAUUACACUCAGUCUGCGAGAGUAGUUGGUGCUUAUGCAAAAUGUCACAUCAAAUAAAUAAGAGCAUAAGUUGCCCCCCCCCCCCCCCCCCCCCCCCAAAAAAAAAAAAAAAAAGAAAAAAGAAAAAACCUGCAAAAGAUCAGCCAUUGUUGUACACUCUGGCACAGUCAUUUCUGCCUCUGGAAUUUCUCCAGAAGGACAACUUGCCCCCACGUUUGCCUGCAUGAGAGAGACUUUCAGCACAGCCUGGAUCUACUUCCAUGGAGCCAAUGCGUUUGCCUGUGAGGACUGAACUUGUGGCAGUGACACCACUUUUGUGAGAAGCAACAAGGAGGAGAAACUGCAAAACAAAGUGUGGAAUAUCCUGAAAAAGGACGAAAUCCAACCCCACACAGACCAAGCGCAUGACCUCACAGACCAAGCGCAUGACCUCACAGACCAAGUGCAUGACCUCACAGACCAGGAUGAUAACAUCGGGAACAGGCUGAGAACACAGAAGCAGGCUUAAAUGGGGAUAUGUUGUCCUUCUGCACCCCACC